AUCCCAUUCCAGUUCAAAAAUAAAAUUAUAAUAAUCACAUCAUUGUACUAUCAAACCUCAAAAGGCCAAACCAGGCAGGUGAAAUAUGACAUUGUACACAUUGAGGAGUUCAAUCAGUUAAUACACAAAUCUCAGACAAUAAAAAUAAAUAGUCAUCCCAAAAUGAAGCCCUACCUACAUCUCUCCCAAACAUGAAUACCAUUACAGAAAGGUUGGUUUGUUCAGCUCGUAUGUGUUCAUCAUCAUCCAAUAUGUAUCGACCUGUAUUUGUAUGAUAUAGAUUCAAGAAAACCCUGAGCCAGUGUUUCUCCAACACCACCACAUGCACUACUAUAAUGUGUAGUGCACUACUUUUGGCCAAUAGUCCACUAUAUAGGGAACAGGGGCUUCAUUUGAGCUAACAGACAGUAUCAGUAAACCCACUGGCCUUUAGACACCAUAAGAGCUGUGGGGUAUUCCAGAAAGCAGGGUUAAUACAUCAGACAGCUAACUUUGAUUAAUAGCCUUUGCCUCAUUUCUCUUGAUUUCCUGGUUGAUUAAAAUAAUCUACAUUUGUAUCACAGUUGUUUCUGUUGUUGUUGAGUCAUUUCAAACCAUUUCAAGCAAUUUGGGUCAGUUUGCUGGCUAACUCAUUGAUCAAGCUUUUUGGAACAGGCCCCAGACGAAUGUGACUGGUGCUAAUCAGCAUUUUGUAGGAGGAUAUAAUCAUCCCAUCAGUGUGCUGUGUGUGUAGGGCAACCAUUUGGGACUUAAAAUAUUAGUAAAAUUAGAACCACAUUUUCAGAUGAGUAGUACAAACACCAGAUUCAGAAAACACAAACAAGAUACUUACAUAUAGUACAAUGUAGGCUCAGCUAGCUAGCGGUCGACGGUAAAAGUAUCUAUGUAGGCUCAGCUAGCUAGCGGUCGACGGUAAAAGUAUCUAUGUAGGCUCAUCUAGCUAGCGGUCGACGGUAAAAGUAUCUAUGUAGGCUCAUCUAGCUAGCGGUCAACGGUAAAAGUAUCUAUGUAGGCUCAGCAAGCUAGCGGUCAACGGUAAAAGUAUCUAUGUAGGCUCAUCUAGCUAGCGGUCAACGGUAAAAGUAUCUAUGUAGGCUCAGCAAGCUAGCGGUCAACGGUAAAAGUAUCUAUGUAGGCUCAUCUAGUGGUCAAAUGUAAAAGUAUCUAUGUAGGCUCAGCUAGCUAGCGGUCAACGGUAAAAGUAUCUAUGUAGGCUCAGCUAGUGGUCAACUGUAAAAGUAUCUAUGUAGGCUCAUCUAGCUAGCGGUCAACGGUAAAAGUAUCUAUGUAGGCUCAGCUAGCUAGCGGUCAACGGUAAAAGUAUCUAUGUAGGCUCAGCUAGCUAGCGGUCAACGGUAAAAGUAUCUAUGUAGGCU
ensembl:lncRNA